rnacentral:lncRNA from 1 species
CACCAUGGUGACUUGCAAGCAACUCACUAUACUUUGGUGCUGGACUAUCUGAAUUUCUAAUUCAGGAUCAAAAAAAUUUUGGGUACAAUCAAGUACUUGUGAAGUCGGUACGUGAGUCAAGAUGGAAUUGACCACUCUAAGAGAUUGGGGAGAAUACUUUGUGUUUCAAUUUAGCAAGACCUUAGCCAAAGCAAUCCUUGUGAGGAGUCACAAAAUUUA